GUGUGGGUGGAGAUAGGUGCGUGUGUGUAGAGACAAAGGUUAAUGUUGUUGUGACGAUACCAUCAACUCAGAAACGAAUAAAGCCUUCAAAUCAAGUGCAGACCCGCCCAAUGUUCAAAUAGCUUACAUACAGACACGGUGCAUUGCCACAAUUGUUUUAAGAUAUUGACGGAUCAGAAUUGGAGAAUAUCGCCAUAAAGACAUGAAGCUAACGUUGGCCCUAGCUGUGAUUCUCCUGCUGUGUGCCACGCCGAUAGGUGGCGCUAAGGUACCGGAAGAAGAGACACGCCUUGCACACGUCUCAGAGGUACCGAAGAGGUUCGUCAGGACAGUCCUGAUGCGAAGGCGACGUCAUCUUGACACACAACACCCUGGGAACCUCGAAAACAGAAGACGCAGAAGCGUGGUCGCCUUCUGCCAGACCGAGGAGUGCUUCAAGUUGAUGGGGCAAUAUGAUGAAUGGCUGCGCCUACACGGCUCUGGAUCUUCUAGUUCUGGUCGCUGGGGGAAGUAAUACAGAAAUCCAGAAUGUUCUACCAGUGGCCUUAUGGCCCCUGUCAUUGUAACCACUAGGAUGCUAUAUCAAUGAGUUAUGUCUAAUGUCGCACUUCCUCCUGUUGCUGAAGCUUUUUACGGCCGCCAAGGAACAGUUGGUACGGAUAGGGGUUUUGUGGUUGUGACGUAUGCAGAUAUUCAGUACAGAAUUAGAACGUAGGCAGAACAGUUCGCUAUAGAUUUGGACAGUCACCCUUUACUUGAAGUAUCUAUCUACCAGUCACUGCAUAUAAAACAUCUCAAGAGAAAGUAGAAGUGAUGACUACAAACAACACAACAUAAUGAUGUCUUUGUCCUUUUUUAUGGUAUUAUGAAAGAGUUUAACAGAAUAUAUUAAAAGUCGACCAAUA